UUGGAAUCGGUCCCAGGCCUACUGAUAUCCUGUGCUUCCUGGAAUCUGACUUGGCUGAUUGGCUCCAAGCCUGUUCCUUGCUUGCGCUUCUUAACCUCAUUCCCUUCCAAUGGUGAGCUAUCAAGGCUUGGAUUUAGUGAAUGCUCCUAUAUCUCAGCCAUGUCUUUGUCCUGUCAAUAUCCAGGAGUUCUUAAGCUGGUGUCCAUGGACCUCCAAGAGAAGGAAGCAUUAGUAGCUGGGGAGAUGAGGAAGAGACAAAUACACAAAUAAAGCUGUGCCUUGAAGAAUCUUAACUGCUGAAUGUAUCUCCUGAGUAUUUUCUCUGCUAGAACCUAUGGCUUCUCCUAAGAGGUAGAGCUGGAUUCUUCCCCCUGCUGCUGGCUCCCAUCUCAAGUUCUUGCAUCUUUGAAAGGUCACUGGGCUAUGCCUGAUCAUUCUCUGUCCAUUGAAGAUGUUCUUUUAUCUCUCCCUCUUAAUUUCCUGGCUUCCAAGGUCCCAGCUAAAACCUGAUUUUCUACAGCAGUGGUAAAACAAGGACUAAUAAACUGU
rnacentral:lncRNA from 1 species